rnacentral:rRNA from 1 species
GUACACGAGCGGCGAACGGGUGAGUAACACGUGGGUGAUCUGCCUCGCACUUCGGGAUAAGCCUGGGAAACUGGGUCUAAUACCGGAUAUGACCAUGGGAUGCAUGUCUUGUGGUGGAAAGAUUUAUCGGUGCGAGAUGGGCCCGCGGCCUAUCAGCUUGUUGGUGGGGUAAUGGCCUACCAAGGCGACGACGGGUAGCCGACCUGAGAGGGUGACCGGCCACACUGGGACUGAGACACGGCCCAGACUCCUACGGGAGGCAGCAGUGGGGAAUAUUGCACAAUGGGCGAAAGCCUGAUGCAGCGACGCCGCGUGAGGGAUGACGGCCUUCGGGUUGUAAACCUCUUUCGACAGGGACGAAGCGCAAGUGACGGUACCUGUAGAAGAAGCACCGGCCAACUACGUGCCAGCAGCCGCGGUAAUACGUAGGGUGCGAGCGUUGUCCGGAAUUACUGGGCGUAAAGAGCUUGUAGGCGGUCUGUCGCGUCUUCUGUGAAAACUCACAGCUCAACUGUGAGCUUGCAGGGGAUACGGGCAGACUAGAGUACUUCAGGGGAGACUGGAAUUCCUGGUGUAGCGGUGAAAUGCGCAGAUAUCAGGAGGAACACCGGUGGCGAAGGCGGGUCUCUGGGAAGUAACUGACGCUGAGAAGCGAAAGCGUGGGUAGCGAACAGGAUUAGAUACCCUGGUAGUCCACGCCGUAAACGGUGGGUACUAGGUGUG